AAUAAGCUAAAGAACUUUUGAGUUGAUAGAAACAAAACUUGAAAUUAAUUUAUAUUUUUUAAUUUCAUAAGGAUCCCAUUAUAGAUCUUUGAUAUUCUGAAUUCGAUGCAUCAAAUUUAAAACGGUGAUUUUGGCAAAUAAGUUUACAUGAGUUGAAAAUUUUCUGAUUUAUUUAAACAUAUUUGUAAUUAAGCAUUUGCUCUAAUUCAAUGCUUAUGUUUUGUAACUUUCUUGAAAAUUUUCUAUCUUAAAGAAGUUCGAAAAAUUCAUAAAGAUUUUUAAAAAAAAAUCAUGUAUACAUACAUAUUUCUCUUCACUUUGAAUUGGAACAUACAACGUCUAUAACAGCUUUCCAUCUCACGCUAUUUGGGGUCAGAUACUUGCCAUUCCUCCAAUUCACUUAUAAUUGUGCGGUGCUAAUUGUUUUUAGGUCUUCCCCUUCCUCUAUUGUCCCUUGAGCGUAAAAAUCAAAUUUUUUGUUUCACUUUAAAUUUCUAUAAUAUAUAUAUAUUGUAUAUAUAUUGUAUAUAUUGUAUAUAUCUCAUAUAUAUAUAUUGUAUUUAUAUAAAUCUAUUUCGCUUCAUAAAACUAAAAUAAAAUUUUUCCUUGAAUAAAAUAAUGACUUUUUCUUUUAGUUGCCGGUAUUGUCAGAGGUUUUGGAAAAUAAAUUAAGGCAUAAGCAGAUUGCAGGGAACUGGACCUACACAAGAUGGCUUGUGACAAAAGAUAAAACAAAAUGUUAAAUUAAAUUGCAUGGAAAUAAAGUUUUAUAAUUGAA